rnacentral:tRNA from 1 species
UCUUCGAUAGUAUAGUGGUGAGUAUCUCCGCCUGUCACGCUGAAGACUGGGGUUCAAUUCCCCGUCGAGGAG